rnacentral:rRNA from 1 species
AGUCGUAACAAGGUCUCCGUUGGUGAACCAGCGGAGGGAUCAUUACCGAGUUUACAACUCCCAAACCCAUGUGAACAUACCUACUGUUGCUUCGGCGGGAUUGCCCCGGGCGCCUCGUGUGCCCCGGAUCAGGCGCCCGCCUAGGAAACUCAACUCUUGUUUUAUUUUGGAAUCUUCUGAGUAGUUUUUACAAAUAAAUAAAAACUUUCAACAACGGAUCUCUUGGUUCUGGCAUCGAUGAAGAACGCAGCGAAAUGCGAUAAGUAAUGUGAAUUGCAGAAUUCAGUGAAUCAUCGAAUCUUUGAACGCACAUUGCGCCCGCCAGUAUUCUGGCGGGCAUGCCUGUCUGAGCGUCAUUUCAACCCUCAUGCCCCUAGGGCGUGGUGUUGGGGAUCGGCCAAAGCCCGCGAGGGACGGCCGGCCCCUAAAUCUAGUGGCGGACCCGUCGUGGCCUCCCCUGCGAAGUAGUGAUAUUCCGCAUCGGAGAGCGACGAGCCCCUGCCGUUAAACCCCCAACUUUCCAAGGUUGACCUCAGAUCAGGUAGGAAUACCCGCUGAACUUAAGCAUAUCA